AUUGAACGCUGGCGGCAGGCCUAACACAUGCAAGUCGAGCGGCUGAAGGGAGCUUGCUCCUGGAUUCAGCGGCGGACGGGUGAGUAAUGCCUAGGAAUCUGCCUGGUAGUGGGGGAUAACGUCCGGAAACGGGCGCUCAUACCGCAUACGUCCUGAGGGAGAAAGUGGGGGAUCUUCGGACCUCACGCUAUCAGAUGAGCCUAGGUCGGAUUAGCUAGUUGGUGGGGUAAAGGUCUACCAAGGCGACGAUCCGUAACUGGUCUGAGAGGAUGAUCAGUCACACUGGAACUGAGACACGGUCCAGACUCCUACGGGAGGCAGCAGUGGGGAAUAUUGGACAACGGGCGAAAGCCUGAUCCAGCCAUGCCGCGUGUGUGAAGAAGGUCUUCGGAUUGUAAAGCACUUUAAGUUGGGAGGAAGGGCAGUAAGUUAAUACCUUGCUGUUUUGACGUUACCAACAGAAUAAGCACCGGCUAACUUCGUG
rnacentral:rRNA from 1 species